rnacentral:rRNA from 1 species
GCGACAGGCUUAACACAUGCAAGUCGAGGGGCAGCGGUGGUGAAGGCUUGCCUUUACCAGCCGGCGACCGGCGCACGGGUGAGUAACACGUAUGCAACCUGCCUGCCACAGCCGGAUAAUCGGGAGAAAUUCCGUCUAAUACGGCAUAAUGCACCUAUGGGACAUCCUGUUGGUGCCAAAGGUUGAUUCCGGUGGCGGAUGGGCAUGCGUCGCAUUAGUUAGUUGGCGGUGUAACGGACCACCAAGACGACGAUGCGUAGGGGUUCUGAGAGGAAGGUCCCCCACACUGGUACUGAGACACGGACCAGACUCCUACGGGAGGCAGCAGUGAGGAAUAUUGGUCAAUGGGCGGGAGCCUGAACCAGCCAAGUCGCGUGAGGGAUGACGGCCCUAUGGGUUGUAAACCUCUUUUGCCGGGGAGCAAAGUGCCGCACGUGUGCGGUUUGGAGAGUACCCGGAGAAAAAGCAUCGGCUAACUCCGUGCCAGCAGCCGCGGUAAUACGGAGGAUGCGAGCGUUAUCCGGAUUUAUUGGGUUUAAAGGGUGCGUAGGCGGACGCUUAAGUCAGCGGUAAAAUUGCGGGGCUCAACCUCGUCGAGCCGUUGAAACUGGGUGCCUUGAGUGGGCGAGAAGUACGCGGAAUGCGUGGUGUAGCGGUGAAAUGCAUAGAUAUCACGCAGAACUCCGAUUGCGAAGGCAGCGUACCGGCGCCCAACUGACGCUGAAGCACGAAGGCGUGGGUAUCGAACAGGAUUAGAUACCCUGGUAGUCCACGCAGUAAACGAUGAAUGCUAGUUGUCCGGGGCGAUUGAGUUCUGGGUGACACAGCGAAAGCGUUAAGCAUUCCACCUGGGGAGUACGCCGGCAACGGUGAAACUCAAAGGAAUUGACGGGGGCCCGCACAAGCGGAGGAACAUGUGGUUUAAUUCGAUGAUACGCGAGGAACCUUACCCGGGCUCAAACGCAGGAGGGAUGUUUUUGAAAGGAGGCAGCCAGCAAUGGUCUCCUGCGAGGUGCUGCAUGGUUGUCGUCAGCUCGUGCCGUGAGGUGUCGGCUUAAGUGCCAUAACGAGCGCAACCCCUACCUACAGUUGCCAUCGCGUGAUGGCGGGCACUCUGUGGGGACUGCCUGCGCAAGCAGUGAGGAAGGCGGGGAUGACGUCAAAUCAGCACGGCCCUUACGUCCGGGGCGACACACGUGUUACAAUGGCAGGUACAGCGGGAAGCCACCCGGCGACGGGGCGCGGAACCCGAAAACCUGUCUCAGUUCGGAUUGGAGUCUGCAACCCGACUCCAUGAAGCUGGAUUCGCUAGUAAUCGCGAAGCAGCCACGGCGCGGUGAAUACGUUCCCGGGC